rnacentral:lncRNA from 1 species
GGUACAUGUCGGAUAUUUUUGGAGGAUCCGACAUGCACCCUGCAACAUUUUCGGAGAGUCUGAGCAACAUAGUUUUUAUUAAACAACUGUUAUAUCUCGUUAUCAAGUUUCUAGACAAUUACAGCAAUCUAUAAGAAGUUUGCUUACGGGUGUGACAUCAUUUUGGAGAGUCCGCACAACAUAGAAUAAAAAUGAACAAGAUCUACUGACCCAUAAGGUGAUGUCUCCACAGCUAUGCCACCAUUUUCAGCUGAUGAAGUAGGACUUUCAGCACUCAUCUUUAACUAGAUACCACCUUCCUCCUUUCUUUUGCUUUGCUAUGAUUUUUAUGCAAUCUGAUGUUGAUGCCAAUUAGAAGCUUGUACACAACUUGGCUUAUGUUUCUAGUUCUUUUCAAGGACAUAAGCCCGUAUAGAUCCUACACGCAUGGGCAUACCAAAAGCUUUAGUUUUUCGGUUGGAGCUGGACUGUGCAAAAGACUUUGUGGUGGAAUAAUACCUACAUAUAGUGUUUUGUCAAAUUGGUCAUGCUACUGCAAAAGCUCAAACUGCCUCAGAUGAUGUGAUUUGUUCGCAAAUUUUGUUCUUUCUUUAGUGAUUUUCUGGUUUGUCUCCCAGAAGCAGGAAGAUUUUUUAUGCUUCAUGGUGGUCGUUUAUCGUAGUUUUGGAUCGUUAUCAUAUCUGCUUAGGAUAGUUGCUUACUAUUUGCAAAAUCCUUAAUUUUUCAUGCCGAAGGUUCAGCUCUUUCAUCAAGUUUUAGUUGAAAAACUGAAGCUUUUUGGAGAGAGCAGUUAUGAUUUUUCAAGUUAAUUUAAUCAGUAGUUAUAGCUUCUAUCCCCUCUCCUCUGGUAAAAAAUGUGCAACUUCAAAUCAAUUCGAACAGUAUUUUCG